AUCGCCACCAUUUGAAGCGACUCCCCCUCCACCUCCUCUGGUGAACACCACCAACGGCGAUUUUCGCCUCCGGGACCACCGACGGGACCACGCACCACCAAGGUGUUGGUUUUCCACUUAAAUGAGAGAGGCCCAAAUGAAGGUCCCCCAAGUUUGAGACCCAGCCACCGACAGCAAUUUGGGCGCGUUAAAUGAGAAGAUCUUAAACGCAUGAUUUAGGAAUUAAUUAGGAGUAAAUAUUUCUGUGGUUCUUUCUCUCUUGUGGCUCUAUAUACUGGUGUUUAUAUGUAUGUGUGUGAAGUGAGGGAAAACAGACAGAGAUACAGAGAGUGGUGAGGAACCAGAGUGAGGUUUUGUACGAUUGAUUUUUUACUAGCUUGAUGAAUAAUUAUCUUAAAUUUCCUCUCAAUGUGGGUUGUGUGUAUGUGUUUGUUUGGUUUGACGCAUCUCGGCGGUGAUUGUCACGCACCAGUUCCAAGGAAGAAGGCGACCUGAUGCGGUGGUGGUGGUGUUCGCCAGCUUUCCGCUCAGUUUUUUUUAGAGGUGGUGCCCACUGCCAAACAGUAUACAACAGCCAGCAAUUAGAUCUUAACUUUUGAAGAGAAACCAUGGUUUUCCCUCCACCACUAGGCCAAAUUACCAGCCCAUCGAAAACAAUCAAUGCUCACAGUACCUCUUCGAGUUUCUGGUCCUGACCCCAAGGCAAGAAGGAGAAGUACACAAAAUUAACUCAAAUAACUGCAAACCAUACGACAGAGACACGACUCUCCACCUACAGAAUAAGAUCAUGCAUAUAUAAGAUCAUACAUAUAUGAGAAGCUUACUAAACAAAGGGACAGCAUCCGUGAACCGUAUCACUAAUGUUAUGUUGGGGUACACCCUAGUGUGGUGGGUGUGAGUGUAGGGGAUCACUCCCCCUUGUAUAAGAGUGCAGUGUGUGUGUGACAGAGAGAGGGUGAGGGAGAGUGUGAGCCAGUUGAGGCUCCCCCAACAGGGGGAGCGGGGCGCCUCGGAUAUGUCCGGAGAGACUGUCGGAGAGCCACCGGAGUGAGGGAGAGAGAGAGAGGAGUGAUGGCAGCCGGGUUGUGGCAUGCUAGAGAGGUUUUUUCAUUUAAAUUGUAUUUGUUUUGUGAAUAAUACAAUUACCGAGUUUUUC